GCCCAGAUAGCUCAGUUGGGAGAGCAUGAGACUGAAGAUCUCAGGGUCGCUGGUUCAAGCCCGGCUUUGGGCA